GACGAACGCUGGCGGCGUGCUUAACACAUGCAAGUCGAACGGAAAGGUCCUGCUUUUGUGGGGUGCUCGAGUGGCGAACGGGUGAGUAACACGUGAGUAACCUGCCCUUGACUUUGGGAUAACUUCAGGAAACUGGGGCUAAUACCGGAUAGGAGCUCCUGCUGCAUGGUGGGGGUUGGAAAGUUUCGGCGGUUGGGGAUGGACUCGCGGCUUAUCAGCUUGUUGGUGGGGUAGUGGCUUACCAAGGCUUUGACGGGUAGCCGGCCUGAGAGGGUGAACGGCCACAUUGGGACUGAGAUACGGCCCAGACUCCUACGGGAGGCAGAAGUGGGGAAUAUUGCACAAUGGGCGGAAGCCUGAUGCAGCAACGCCGCGUGCGGGAUGACGGCCUUCGGGUUGUAAACCGCUUUCGCCUGUGACGAAGAGUGAGUGACGGUAAUGGGUAAAGAAGCACCGGCUAACUACGUG
rnacentral:rRNA from 1 species